rnacentral:rRNA from 1 species
AUUGAACGCUGGCGGCAGGCUUAACACAUGCAAGUCGAGCGGAGAGAGGUAGCUUGCUACUGAUCUUAGCGGCGGACGGGUGAGUAAUGCUUAGGAAUCUGCCUAUUAGUGGGGGACAACAUUUCGAAAGGAAUGCUAAUACCGCAUACGUCCUACGGGAGAAAGCAGGGGAUCUUCGGACCUUGCGCUAAUAGAUGAGCCUAAGUCGGAUUAGCUAGUUGGUGGGGUAAAGGCCUACCAAGGCGACGAUCUGUAGCGGGUCUGAGAGGAUGAUCCGCCACACUGGGACUGAGACACGGCCCAGAAUCCUACGGGAGGCAGCAGUGGGGAAUAUUGGACAAUGGGGGCAAGCCUGAUCCAGCCAUGCCGCGUGUGUGAAGAAGGCCUUAUGGUUGUAAAGCACUUUAAGCGAGGAGGAGGCUACUUUAGAUAAUACCUAGAGAUAGUGGACGUUACUCGCAGAAUAAGCACCGGCUAACUCUGUGCCAGCAGCCGCCGUAACAC